rnacentral:snRNA from 1 species
GGAUGUGAAGGCAUCUGGCUGCGACAUCUGUCACCCCAUCAGUCGCCAGGGUUGAUGCGGGUGAUCUGGCUGGUGGGCUGGUGUCCCCUUCCUCCCUCAGUGCUCCAGGUGCGUCGCUCCCAAAGCUGCACGCUCAGUUAGGAGGACGACCUUCCCUGACAAAGGACCAUUCUUUAGUCAGGGGUAUGUGAGUAGCUGCACUCGCCUGCCAGAACCUCCAAACGAGCUCUCAAGAGCAGCUUCCAGGCCUCUGCGGUCCCAGCUGGGCAAG